AUACGUAGGGGGCAAGCGUUAUCCGGAUUUACUGGGUGUAAAGGGAGCGUAGGUGGUUCGGCAAGUCUGGAGUGAAAGCCCGGGGCUCAACCCCGGGACUGCUUUGGAAACUGUGGAACUAGAGUGCAGGAGAGGUAAGUGGAAUUCCUAGUGUAGCGGUGAAAUGCGUAGAUAUUAGGAGGAACACCAGUGGCGAGGGCGGCUUACUGGACUGUAACUGACGUUGAGGCUCG
rnacentral:rRNA from 1 species